rnacentral:lncRNA from 1 species
AUAGAAACCAGACAGGCUUCCACAUUAGAAGGACGGAGAAUUAUUGUUGCUAUUGAUGGUUGGCCCAGAAAUUCCAGAUAUCCAAAUGGACACUUUGUGAGAAAUUUAGGUGAUGUUGGAGAGAAAGAGACUGAAACAGAAGUUUUGUUACUUGAACACGAUGUUCCCCAUCAGCCUUUUUCACAGGCUGUUCUUAGUUUUCUGCCAAAGAUGCCCUGGAGCAUUACUGAAAAGGACAUGAAAAACCGAGAAGACCUGAGGCAUCUGUGUAUUUGUAGUGUAGACCCACCAGGAUGUACUGAUAUAGACGAUGCUCUACAUUGUCGAGAACUCGAAAAUGGAAAUUUGGAGGUUGGUGUUCAUAUUGCUGAUGUGAGCCAUUUUAUUAGGCCAGUGUCUCUCCAGAAUAAGACAUUGGCAUUCAAAUGUCUAUAUCUUGUUACUUACAAAAUAAAAAACAGAUUAAUUAGUGGCUUUUAAA